AUUGAACGCUGGCGGCAUGCCUAACACAUGCAAGUCGAACGAGACCUUCGGGUCUAGUGGCGCACGGGUGCGUAACACGUGGGAAUUUGCCUCGGGGUAUGGAAUAACUCAGGGAAACUUGAGCUAAUACCAUAUAAUGUCUUCGGACCAAAGAUUUAUCGCCCUGAGAUAAGCCCGCGUAGGAUUAGCUAGUUGGUGGGGUAAAGGCUCACCAAGGCGACGAUCCUUAGCUGGUCUGAGAGGAUGAUCAGCCACACUGGGACUGAGACACGGCCCAGACUCCUACGGGAGGCAGCAGUGGGGAAUAUUGGACAAUGGGCGAAAGCCUGAUCCAGCAAUGCCGCGUGAGUGAUGAAGGCCUUAGGGUUGUAAAGCUCUUUUACCCGAGAUGAUAAUGACAGUAUCGGGAGAAUAAGCUCCGGCUAACUCCGUGCCAGCAGCCGCGGUAAUGUGACUACUG
rnacentral:rRNA from 1 species